AACAUUCAUUCUGUCGGUGGGU
rnacentral:miRNA from 2 species